rnacentral:rRNA from 1 species
CUUGCUCUUUCCGGAAUUGAGUGGCAAAACGGGUGAGUAACACGUAAACAACCUGCCUUCAGGAUGGGGACAACAGACGGAAACGACUGCUAAUACCGAAUAAGUUCCAAGAGCCGCAUGGCCCAUGGAAGAAAAGGUGGCCUCUACCUGUAAGCUAUCGCCUGAAGAGGGGUUUGCGUCCGAUUAGAUAGUUGGUGAGGUAACGGCUCACCAAGUCGACGAUCGGUAGCCGGUCUGAGAGGAUGAACGGCCACACUGGAACUGAGACACGGUCCAGACUCC